rnacentral:lncRNA from 1 species
AAAGGGAGGAGAGAGAGAAGGAGGGAUAGAGAGAGGGAGAGGGAUAGAGAAAGAAGGAGGAGAUUUAAAGAAGAGUGAAAGAGUGAAAAAUAGUGAGAGAGCGAGAGACAGAGAGAGAGCGAGUCCUCUAGGUAUCCUCUAGCUGUCCUCUAGGUAUCCUCUAGGUAUCCUCUAGCUGUCCUCUAGGUAUCCUCUAGGUAUCCUCUAGGUAUCCUCUAGCUGUCCUCUAGGUAUCCUCUAGGUAUCCUCUAGGUAUCCUCUACUCUAGGUGUUCUCUAGGUAUCCUCUAGGUAUCCUCUAGGUGUCCUCUACUCUAGGUGUUCUCUAGGUAUCCUCUAGGUAUCCUCUAGGUGUCCUCUACUCUAGGUGUUCUCUAGGUAUCCUUUAGGUGUUCUCUAGGUAUCCUCUAGCUGUCCUCUAGGUAUCCUCUAGCUGUCCUCUAGGUAUCCUCUAGGUAUCCUCUAGCUGUCCUCUAGGUAUCCUCUAGGUAUCCUCUAGGUGUCCUCUAGCUAUCCUCUAGGUACUUUCCCCAGCCCAGCUCUCUUUCAUCAGUGCAGAUCAAGGAAAGGAGUUGAAUCAGAAGAAGAGACAAAACGGGUGUGUCUCAAAUGUAACCCUUUUCACUUCAUAGUGCCCUACUUUUGACCCCCGAACUUUAACCUUGGUCAAAAGUUGUGCACUAUGAAUAAGGUCCCAUUUGGAACGCAGACAAUACUGUAUGUCUAGGCUAUUGACACGCACCUAGAGGGGGAUUGACAUAUAGAUAAUUGAAGAGGUUCAUCCACAGGAGGAUAAAACAGAGUGGUACAGGAGGAUAAAACAGAGCGGUACAGGAGGAUAAAACAGAGCGGUACAGGAGGAUAAAACAGAGCGGUACAGGGGGAUAAAACAGAGCGGUACAGGAGGAUAAAACAGAGCGGUACAGGAGGAUAAAACAGAGCGGUACAGGAGGAUAAAACAAGGGUACAGGAGGAUAAAACAGAGCGGUACAGGAGGAUAAAACAGCGGUAGAGGAGGAUAAAACAGAGCAGUACAGGAGGAUAAAACAGAGCGGUACAGGAGGAUAAAACAGAGCAGUACAGGAGGAUAAAACAAGGGUACAGGAGGAUAAAACAGAGCUGUACAGGAGGAAAGAGAAGAACGGGGGAUUUUACACAGAAAGAAAGAGGAUGAAGAGAGGACAGGAAUUCAGUUUCGAAGGUUUCUCAUAACACAACUGAAAAGGGAAGAAGUUAUUUACUCCACUUCAAAUAUGAACCAGUUUCCUUCCAAUGCAUGAUCACAUGGGGGUGUGGCCCAAUUGUCACACUAUUCACUAUAUAGUGCACUCAUUUUGAACAGGGCCCAUUUGGGCUCUGGUCAAAAGUAGUGUACUAUAUAGGGAAUGGGGUGCCAUUUCGGACUCACCCGUACUGUAUAGACACCUGAAACAUAUGUGCAGUUAAGUACGUCACAGGCACUUUUGACAG